rnacentral:rRNA from 1 species
CCCCUAGAUGUUCUGGGCCGCACGCGCGCUACACUGAACAGUUCAACAAGUCUUAACCUUGGCCGAUAGGUCUGGGUAAUCUUUGAACGCUGUUCGUGAUUGGGAUAGACCUUUGCAAUUAUUGGUCUUCAACGAGGAAUUCCUAGUAAACGCAAGUCAUCAGCUUGCAUUGAUUACGUCCCUGCCCUUUGUACACACCGCCCGUCGCACCUACCGAUUGAAUGGUCCGGUGAAAUCUCGGGACGGCGGCUUGGUCGCUUGCGUCCGACUGCUGAAACUUGAUUAAACCAUAUCAUUUAGAGGAAGGUGAAGUCGUANCA